ACCUGGGUGGCUCGGUCGGUUGAGCAUCUGACUUCAGCUCCGGUCAUGAUCUCAGAACCCGUGGGUUCGAGCCCCAUGUCGGGCU
rnacentral:tRNA from 1 species